UCCCUAUGGGGUGCAGCAGUUGCGAAAACUCUACAAUGCACGAAAGUGUGAUAGGGUUAUCCCGAGUGCUGUCCGAUGAGGAUGGCUUUUACCUGGUGUAAGGAGCCAGGGGAAUAAAGGGGGGGCAAGACUGGUGUCAGCCGCCGCGGUAAUACCAGCCCCCUGAGUGGUAGGGAUGAUUAUUUGGCCUAAAGCGUCCGUAGCCGGCUUAGCCAGUCUUUCGUUAAAUCCAGUGACUUAAUCAUUGGGCUGCGAGAGAUACUACUAGGCUUGAGGACGGGAGAGGUCGACGGUAUUUCGGGGGUAGGGGUAAAAUCCUAUAAUCCUCGGAGGACCACCAGUGGCGAAGGCGGUCGACUAGAACGUGCCUGACGGUGAUGGACGAAAGCUGGGGGAGCAAACCGGAUUAGAUACCCGGGUAGUCCCAGUUGUAAACGAUGCGGGCUAGGUGUUUGGGCGGCCACGAGCCGCCCUAGUGCCGCAGGGAAGCUGUUAAGCCUGCCGCCUGGGGAGUACGGCCGCAAGGCUGAAACUUAAAGGAAUUGGCGGGGGAGCACCACAAGGGGUGAAGCUUGCGGUUUAAUUGGAUUCAACGCCGGAA
rnacentral:rRNA from 1 species